GAUUUGAUUUGGUUUGCUUGCAAUUUUUUUUAUUUAGACUUCAGUGUAACUCCUAAAUUUUUCCUCCAAAAAUUGUGGUGUCAUCACAUUAGUCUUCUAAAGAGUUUUCUUCAAAUAAGUCUCUCAAUGAUCUAAGCCUUCACACAUACAUCGUUAUGGAAGGACAAAGUGGUGAUAGAAAAUGAUGGAUUUUGUAAAUGUUAUGUAUAUUUGAAUUUGAGGGACUGGUUUGGUGACAUGAUAAUCAUUGGAGAACUCACUUUUACGUACAAUGUUUAAUCUUUGCAGAAGUCAUAGGGUGUUGUUUUUGUAAGUUAAUAACUCUGGUUUUUUCAAUCAAUUCUGAAGAUUCCUAUUGUAAUGUGUGCUGAGGAUGGUUUUUUCACAGGGCUUUAUUGUACACCUAUCCAUAAUAAUCCUUGGAUUUCUAACAACUGCACAAUGAUCAUAUCAUCCAUAUGGCACAAUUGUGAAGUUCUACAUUCUGUGAAUUUGUUGAGUGGGGAAGUAUUACGUAUCAGCCCAGCAGAGUCAAAUUUCUCGUGGAAUCUUCUUACACUGAAUGGGAAUAAUAUUCUUGACCUUUCCAACAAUCCGAUCAAUGUUCCUUAAAUUAUGUACGGAAUGGUCAUUGAGAAGGCAAAGAGAAAUACUACAUGGAAUUGGUCAAAGAUAUCCAGUCCCAUAUUCAAAUGCUCUGACAAGGUUACAACUUUGUUGUCCACUCUCCAGUGCAGUAUACUGAAGAUCUCAGUCACAGAUGCUUCCAACGAUCCAAUAAAAGGUGCUGAUAAACCUUUUGAAGCUAUAUUUGUAUCAUCCAAAGCCAUGAAUAAGGAUUUAUGUGAUCCAUUAAUUGUGAUCCUUCAUGGAGGGCCACAAGACGUCUCUUUGUCACUCUUCUCCAAGUCUUGGGCGUUUCUAUCUUCGGUUGGAUAUAGCUUGUUGAUGUAAAUUACAGGUUAUUCAUGCUUCUAAUACAAUUAGAGAUUGUUGAUUUAACUCUUAUAUAAUGGUUUUAAGACUACCAUUUUUUAUUCACUUUUAGUUUUUUUUUUGCUAUCGGAGUUUGCCGUAGUUUUUAUGAUGAUUGGUUUCGUCAUUCUAAAAGGGGUAGCAGUGCAUUAAGGUUAUUUAUGCAUCAAUCCAAGGCUUGUAACACCAAGGCUUGUUCCAGCAAAUUGCUUCUCUAGUAAAUAACAUAGUUAUCCAGAUUGCAGCUGGGAGUAGCCUUAUGGUUAUUUAUGCAUCAAAUCAAAUUUCAUGGAAUAAUAAGACAAAUAUAUUACAUGUUUUCUGCCUUUUCAUUAUUAUCAUUUUUAAUCUCCAAAAUCUCAUUUCUUCCCUUUUUUUAUAGGCAGGUUACAAGCAUUAUCACUCAGAUGGAAAAUUGAGCCUACAACAUUUUAUUAUUUUCUUUGGAGUCUUUGAACUAUUGCUCUCUCAACUUCCUGAUAUUCACUCACUCAGAUGGGUUAAUGCAUUAUGCACUUUUAGUACCAUUGGAUUUGCCGGUACAACCAUUGGUGUUACAAUUUACAAUGGUAAGAAGAUUGAUAGAACAUCAGUUAACUACAGUUUGCAGGGUAGUUAUGCGUUGAAGUCCUUCAAAGCCUUAUGAAUGAAGCGGGGGGGAGAGACUGACUAUCUUGCCGCUGCUAGUCUAUUUUGGGAGAGUUGUUUGUUUACUGAAUGCCAUGCUGCUGGUACUGGUAUUAGUACUAGAGCAGGUAUUCGUACUCUUUGACUUACUUCAAUGCUCUUGGAACCAUUGCCUUUUCAUUUGGUGAUGCAAUACUUUCAGAAAUACAGGUAUCUCAUUCUUCCGAAUCAUGCACCGAUCUCUGAAUUGUAUGUGCAUAGUAAUCGGGAACGCAGUCUCUCAUGUGUUCGGAUUUCGGACAUAUUUAUUAGUUACGUUUUGCACAUAUUUUUUUUGUUGUUGCACUUUCUGUGUAUGCAUCAAUCGCCAGACUUAGAAUUUCGAAAAGAGGGACAAGCCAACACAUUCUGCAGUGUCCGCUCUCCAAAAUUCCCAAAGAUGUGAGCAACCUGCUAGUAGUUCUUCAAGAUCCCAUCAUGACUCAUCUGGGAACUUUACUUGUUCUAGCAACAUUUCAAGUAUGGUUGUGGAUCGUUACAUUGAUGGGGAGCAGCAACUAGAGGAAACUAGCCCCGAGAGCAGUUCACAGAGAAAAAUCAGUAGACCUGGAAAUAAUUGCAAAAGUUAUUUGUAAUUUAGAUGUAAUUACAAAUACUAUAAUAAAUUAUGAAAUUGAUUUAUUAUUGUA